UACGUAGGGUGCGAGCGUUAAUCGGAAUUACUGGGCGUAAAGCGUGCGCAGGCGGUUUUGUAAGACAGGCGUGAAAUCCCCGGGCUCAACCUGGGAAUUGCGCUUGUGACUGCAAGGCUAGAGUGCGUCAGAGGGGGGUAGAAUUCCACGUGUAGCAGUGAAAUGCGUAGAGAUGUGGAGGAAUACCGAUGGCGAAGGCAGCCCCCUGGGACGGUACUGACGCUGAGGCGCGAAAGCGUGGGGAGCAAACAGG
rnacentral:rRNA from 1 species